ACCAGACUCCUACGGGAGGCAGCAGUGGGGGAUAUUGCACAAUGGGGGGAACCCUGAUGCAGCGACGCCGCGUGGGUGAAGAAGUAUUUCGGUAUGUAAAGCCCUAUCGGCAGGGAAGAAAUUGGACGGUACCUGACUAAGAAGCCCCGGCUAACUACGUGCCAGCAGCCGCGGUAAUACGUAGGGGGCAAGCGUUAUCCGGAUUCACUGGGUGUAAAGGGAGCGUAGACGGCCAUGCAAGCCUGGAGUGAAAGCCCGGGGCCCAACCCCGGGACUGCUCUGGGAACUGUGCGGCUGGAGUGCGGGAGAGGUAAGUGGAAUUCCUAGUGUAGCGGUGAAAUGCGUAGAUAUUAGGAGGAACACCAGUGGCGAAGGCGGCUUACUGGACUGUAACUGACGUUGAGGCUCGAAAGCGUGGGGAGCAAACAGGAUUAGAUACCCCGGUAG
rnacentral:rRNA from 1 species